rnacentral:misc_RNA from 1 species
UAAUAAUAAUAAAAAUAAAAGAAAGGAAAAGAUUUUGGGCUAUUGGGGAAUGCUCUAGAAACCUGUAAAGAAGAAAAGUAAUAGGAAAAGGAAUUUAAAAAAAUGGAAAAGGUUAGCUAGGAAGAGGAAUCGAGAAUUGGAAACAGAGGAGAGGUAAUUGCAGCAGCUGACCAACCCUUCAAUUUCUAGCCAAAUCCCAUCCUUACCAACAACUUUUCAUCUCUAACAGCAGCCCCAUGAUGGAAGAAACCGGUCACCAUUUUCUCCUCUUUACAGAACGCAAGAGAAGGAGAAAGAGGAGCCACAACUGCUCUCAACGAUCCAGCAGUAUCUUGUGAGAAUUUCACCCACUCUUAGUGAUUUUGGUCUAUUUGAGGCUGCAACAGCCACUCCUAAACUCCCUUGUUGCUUCAAUUAGAGUUGAUUUCAUCCAUUUCAACCAAACAGCAAAAUAGAAACAGGAAAUAGAAGAGCUAUUGUUGCUGUCCCUCUUGGAUUUUGGCAUUUUCAAUGCCGUUAGAGCCAACCAGCAACAUCCCUGGCCUCCUUCAACCGUUAUUGAAUGCUCCCAUUACCCCCAGUCAAAACUAGCAGUUGAAUGAAAGGGUAGUUAAUUGAGAUUUCAUUCCUUGGUUAAGUUUUUAGUCCAACCAAGACCAAUAAUCAAACCCACUUCAUUUCCUAGUCCUAAUAAGUUCUAACUUGAAAUUGUUUAAGCUGAAAUUGUGUAAGCUAAGUAUGAAAGAGGGUAAAGGGAGAGGGAAAAUAUUGGUACACGAGUGACAUAGGGUGGUAAUACGAAGGCAGCGUGUGAUGGCCAUCCCAAAUUCUGCUGUUCUUCUAUUUUCAGUAUUUUUCAGCUGCAAUUGGUAUUGGGUAAGUGAUAUCUUGUUGUAGUUUUCCCCUUUAAUGUUAAAUUAAAUGCCAAUCUAUUUUCAUGUAAAUGUAGAAUUUGUUGGUUAAAUAAUAUGAGUGAACUCUAGUCAAUUUUCAUAUUGGGAAUAAGAACUUAAUUAGUAUAAAUGAAUGUACAUAUCUUCCUAUGUACAAUGGAUGAACUUUGUUUUGAAAUCUGAUAUUUCAUUUUGUGUUAAGAAUGAGAGGACAAUUCGAAUUUUGGAUCAUCACAGAUAGCCCAUGGAAUUGUAAUUUUGAAAGGAAAAGAAAGGAAUAUUAAAAUGAAAUGUAUGGGGUGUAUAAAAGGGAGAAUAGGGUGGAAGAAUUUAUAUAAUUAUACAGGCCUUGGAUGGGUGUUAUAUUAAAUUAUGUUGUGCCAUUUUUGAGACUCCUUGAAGCUUUGUAAAACUGGGGGAAUGUCCAGCUUAUGCUGGAAUGACGCCAGAAUUUCAUUAGAAUUUUUAGGAGACAAUUCUUGCAUAUUAGGCACUUUGAUAGCAUUUUAGAAUUAUAGCUUCGUUCCUAAACUCCAAUUUUUUGCUAUAAUUCUCUGUAGGAAAUCCUGCUUCAGAUGUAGGUUGUAGGGACAUCUUUGUUGGUUAGAUCGUUCCCUUUCAAUUUGUCUUUGUCUCCAAUACCAGAUUCUUUUGGUGAUCCCAGUUCUAGCAAUGCUUGUCUUCAUAGCUUGUCCUCUCCUCGCUUUGUCAAGUCUAGUGGAGGGCCACUAUAAACAUCACGUCACCGAUCUCUCUUUACAUUGGCAACAUCUAUGAUUAUCUUUUCAUCAAAAGCCUUCAACAUUCGGCCUGUUGUUUCUUGUGCCAAAGCUACACUUACAGAUAAAACAGUUGAUCCAUUUCUACAAUUGGUCAAUGAAAGCAAGUUACAGGCUGUUAACAACCAAAUGGAGCACCCAAGGAAAGUUUAUGGAUCUAAAGAAGAUAAUGAGGAUGCUCUAAAUUCACUUUCAGCCAUAGAAAUAGCAGAAAGUCAAUCAAAAGAAUCAUUUGCUACCAUGAUAGCAAAGUUUAUGGGAACAUCAUCAAAUCAAGAUUCUGCCAUAAGAGAAGAGUUGCUUAAAGAUUUUGUACCAGAUGAUUUAUGCCCACUGGGAGUUGAUUUAUUCAUGGAGAUGCCAGGGGAAAAGUCUGAGCCAGUAUCAGAAGACAAAUAUUCUGAGAAGACCGAGCCCCCACUAUUCACAAUAGAUGAUAGUCCUGUACCUAGUACAUCUGAAGGUCAGAAAGAUCCUGGUGAUCAGCUGGCAUUCGAAUCUACUCCGCUUCUGAGUGUUGGUGAACUUUUAAAUGCAGUUUCAGAAACAACAAAUCAAGUAGGAAGAUUUUCUGUCUCAACCCCACCUGACUUGCCUUAUAUGGAAAUGGCUGGCCAUUGUGAAGCCCUUUCAGCAGGAAAGCAGAAAAAGAUGUCUGCUUUAAUGAGUUCUCAGCAAAGCGUGACUAGAAUAUCUGCUUAUGACCAAAUCCAACCAAUGCUGGCUUAUGAACAUAACCAAGCAAUGCAAAUGCCAUCCAAUUUUCACUUUCUGCAGUGUGGAAACCCAUUCCUUGACCAAAAUUUUGGUCCUAAUUCACUUAACCCAUCUACUCCUGCUGGUCUUUUGCUUUGCGCAACAGAGUAUCAGCAUCUUCAGCACUUCAAGUUGCCAGCUUCUAGUCCCUAUGAUAAUUUUCUCAAGGCUGCUGGAUGUUGAUGCUGUAACUACGAUAGCAGCUCUCAACAAGGCUCAGACUCUGUAUCAGAGUUAGGAAAUCUUGAGUGGUACACUGAGGGUAACGAAGGCUUUAGUCCUCCAUGUUGCUACUGUUUUUUGGAAUCAUAUCAGGUAGGGACCAGCUACCGAUGGAUCAGCAAUUCAUCAUUGCCAUUUUGUUUUGAUAUCAGUUUAGAAAUGAAGAUCAAAUUCAAUGGGAGAGUUAAGAAUGAAGCUCCAGUAGCAUAUUGGAGACAAAAUUUGGGGUUCAUGUUCCUGCUGUGUUGAAAUUUUAGCAUUCAGGUACUAGCAACUAUUGAUGGAUCAGUGAUUUUUUCCUGUCGAUUUCAGUUUGAACAUUUGAUGUCUUCAUUCAUUUAUUCUUUUAUCUUCAUUCUUUGAAGGGGAGGGCUUUUUCCUCUCCCUUCUUUUCUCCCCUUAAAUUGACUUGUAUAUAUAAUGAAUUUUUUGAGUAUUCAUGCUGCUCCUUCAGAUACUGCAAGGAGCUUUUACAGUAAUAUAUUUUUGGUAGAAGUGAAAGUUUGUAUAGUUUGGAUUGUAUAUGAAUGGGAUUACUUUAUGUUAAACUUUGAAUUUAU